rnacentral:rRNA from 1 species
AGGACGAACGCUGGCGGCGUGCCUAAUGCAUGCAAGUCGAGCGACGAAUAGGUGCGGGUAACCAAACCUAUUACGGAGCGGCGAACGGGUGAGUAACACGUGAGCAACCUGCCCCGAAGACCGGGAUAGCCCAGGGAAACUUGGAUUAAUACCGGAUAUCCUCCUUUGAUCGCAUGGUCGUUGGAAGAAAUGCUUUUACGCUUCGGGAUGGGCUCGCGGCCUAUCAGCUUGUUGGUGGGUAACGGCCUACCAAGGCGUCGACGGGUAGCUGGUCUGAGAGGACGAUCAGCCACACUGGGACUGAGACACGGCCCAGACUCCUACGGGAGGCAGCAGUGGGGAAUCUUGCGCAAUGGGCGAAAGCCUGACGCAGCAACGCCGCGUGGGGGAUGAAGGCUCUCGGGUCGUAAACCCCUUUCAGCAGGGACGAAACUGACGGUACCUGCAGAAGAAGCCCGGCAACUACGUGCCAGCAGCCGC